rnacentral:lncRNA from 1 species
UGGUUAGCUCUCGGGUAGCCUCAGCAGGGCUGUGUACCGAUACGGGAUUGAUGGCUGUACCGGUACGCGCUGAUGGCUGUACCGGUACGGGACUGGUGUACCGGUACACAGACGGAUUUCGUGCAAACCCGAGGCUCGGGUUUGGCUGUUUCGCAGGUGUUGUACCGGUACACAGUGCAGCGCAAGCAGUUUUUCGGGCAGGGGUGU